rnacentral:lncRNA from 1 species
AUGAGAGGCAGGGUGCCCUGCAGGCACGGCUGCCCCAGUCACAGGCACACGGAGGCCUCGAGAGGGAAGGGGGUUGCCAGCCACACAGGCCGUGCGGCCCGGGCAGCUUGGACCAUCUCCACCCAGCACCAUGGCGGCCACCAGAGAUGCGCAGUGACCCAGCCGGCCCUGCCACGGACACUGAUGUCAGCAAGCGUCCCCUGCAGCUGGACUGACAGUGGCGUCCGGGGAGAGGCAUGUAUCCAGUGCAGACCACGCUCUCAGCCUGUGAGAGCCAGAUGGGGCUGCCUUUGUGGAGAUAUCUGCUCUGGUGCUACACAGGGUCUCUGGAGGGCUCAGCCUUCCACCCCAGCCAGCCCAGCCCCGGCUGCCCUCCCACUCCCAUGUGACUUGCCAGCGCGCACAUACCAGAGCUGCAGCCACACCUGUGCAGGCACGUGUCCAGGGCGCCCUGCACUUAUACCAAGCCCAACCCCGAUGCAAGGCCACAUGGGUCUCUAUGCCCCUGCAACACGUGUGCACACACAACACACAGGCGGGGCAGGGACCACAUGCGCACACGUGCAUGCACAUGUGUGCUCACAAACGCAGAGCACAUGCAGCACAGGCAGAAAUAUGCACACACACGUUUUCUCAAGGCCUGGGCCUGUGAGGACUCAGAACAAAGAGGAGAGAGGCCACGUGGCCAAGACUCCCCGUCCCUCUCAGGGCAGGGCCUGGGGGAACAGGGAGAGGGAGGAGAACAGAGGGGGUUGGGGGAGGGAGUGGGGAGCAUUGCUGGUGGAGCCAGAUGGCCAUGGGGGAGGCCCGGGCUCCAGAGCCCAGGGGAGCCAGGAGGGGGAGCGGGGACAUGCUCAGCAGCCGGGCGCCCACCCCCGGCUCCCCUACUGGCUCCUCUGUGCCGGUUGGGGAGGGCAGAGUCAGGGUGCUGCGGGGCGUGUCCCGGCUCUCCAGACUGGCCUCCGCCCCUCCUCCAGCCACUCUCCCACACACUCCCUCUCCUCCAGGAGACCCUUGGGCCUGGCCCACUGGCGCUGCCCACUCCCCUCGUGGGCACUGACAGUUUCCUCCUCUGUGCACUGGACGCCAGAGUAUCUGAGCUCCAGGGCCUGGCAGCCCUGCCCCCUGGCUCAGAGCAGGCUCCUCAGACAGGGGACCACGCGGCUCAUGCCCCUGCCCCUGGGCCCAGGAGACCCCAGUGCUCCCCCUGGACAGCCUCAGCAGAGGUAG